rnacentral:hammerhead_ribozyme from 1 species
AUUCAGCUGACGAAUCCUAAAUAGGACGAAACUCGUGUCCUGAAU